UUGGAGUGAACCCAAAGGGCUGUGAUUCAAAAGGAAAUGUGUCAUCUAUUAGAUACACAUCUAAUGCAUUAGAUGGGAGAUGGUGACUAAGACAUCCGAAUCUUAGAGGAUGGAGAGUGUUAGGCCAGGUAAUGACCAGUUAUGGGGAAGAUAACGGUCGUGGCAGAAGCAAAUCAAGGGAGGAUUCAGUGGCUGUACGAGAGUGCUUGCUUUGCUUCCAGAAACACCAGGGUGAUUUAAUUUGCUACUGAAGACUGGAUUCAUCACCUCCUUGGCUCAUUGGAUAUCAUUGCUGCAGAAAAACAAAAGCAAAACUACAAAGCCACCGGCAGUGAAAAUGAAAAUACAUAGAUGGGAUUGUGCUAAAGU